GCUCCGUGCGGGCGGUGCCGUGUGGGCGGGUGUGCAGACAGCAAGACGAACGAGCCCCCGUCGGCCGGGGGCGCCGCUCCGGGCAGCGGGGCGCUGCGGCCCUUUAAGGCUCCUGUUGACUCUCCCGGAAGCCGCCUCACAUGGGCAGCGCUCUGGCGGGAGCCGUCCCGCCCAGUGACGUAACGCAGCUGGCGGAGGGGGCGGGGCCCUGAGCGGGGGCGGAGCCCUGGGCGCUGAGGGCCGACCAGGGCUGAGCUCAGCGGUGAGGGGCGUUUGUGAGCCCGGGACAUCGAAAACCUUAUGUUGGAACUCACAAAAUACGUGUAUGAAAACGCUUUUGCCCGAUAACGGCCCCUCGGCGAGCAGGCGGCAGAAGGGACGCUGUGCUGUCAUUCCCUUCUCAGCGGCAGCCUGCUGUUUGGAUUGGCUGCAUCCCAUUCACCUGGAGAGGAUGGCCUGUUGGGAGCUCUGCUGAUGGGCUGACUGCUUAGGGAAUGCUUCAGAUGUAAUACAGACUGCAAAUGUGAGCCUGAAAAUCACAUCAGGGGGGGCCCACACUAUUAGUGUUCAAUUUGCUGCCACUACCUGACACCCUUAUUUUGCUGAGGAUCCCCAGAGGUGAGGGAGCAUUGCUCUGGCCAGAACAGGAAGCUGUGGCACAUUUUUGUAGCUGGGUAGCGUAUGGAGGAGGAUUCCCACCAAAGGUAUGGCCAGUAUUAGGUUUUGUUUCUGCUUUUUUCA